rnacentral:lncRNA from 1 species
GGGGGGCGGGGAAAAGGGAGGAGGGCCAGAAGAUGGUUGUGUUGGAUGUGAAUGGGGCGGGUGGGCGCCAGGGGCAAUUAUGACCGCAGGCUGGUUUAGGGGUUGGGUAAGGUCAGGUGUCCUCUGGGGUUGGGAGGAGGAAGGUCGGCUGGUGGCCCAGCUGCGGGGUUCUGGUGGGUCCAGGCCGAUGGAGUGGCUCACCUGUGUAGGCCAGGACGCAGGCUGAUCAGCACUGGAUCAGAACCGCUACAUGAAACCUGAGAAACUCCUAAAACCCAUUCCCCAGAAUGGAUAUCGCAGAGUAUGCUCAGACAGAGCCACUCAGGCCUGCAUUCCGCAUCAAAGAACACAUGAAAGAACACAGAUCGGAGAAAGAAAAACCCCAACUUUGGUAACAGGAUUCCAGUGAGGAAUUCUGGUUGUUCUGAUGCUUUGCAUGAAACACUUUGAACUUUCAGAAAAGAGCUUUAGAUUUGUUGGCAGGUAAGUAUGUGAGGUAAUGCAUAUUUUAACUAGCUUGAAUUUAACCAUUCCACAAUGUGUGUAUGUGUAUAUAUACCAGAACUUGUGUAUAUCAUAGCUAUAUACAAUUUUACUUAAAGUAAAUAAUUAUUAACAUUUUACAAAUAGAUUGGAUGCCAAUGAGGGAUGUGUGUGUGUGUGUUUGUGUGUGUGCGCCCAUGUGCACAGGCACCUGUGUGAAUACAUAUGGUUCUGAUCCACAAUUUUAUGCUCCUUGUCUUUAAAUAAAGCUACUUGGUGCCCAUACA